AUUGAACGCUGGCGGCAUGCCUUACACAUGCAAGUCGAACGGCAGCACGGGAGCAAUCCUGGUGGCGAGUGGCGAGCGGGUGAGUGAUAUAUCGGAACGUGCCCGGUCGUGGGGGAUAACGUAGCGAAAGCUACGCUAAUACCGCAUACGAUCUACGGAUGAAAGCGGGGGAUCGCAAGACCUCGCGCGAUUGGAGCGGCCGAUAUCAGAUUAGGUAGUUGGUGAGGUAAAGGCUCACCGAGCCGACGAUCUGUAGCUGGUCUGAGAGGACGACCAGCCACACUGGGACUGAGACACGGCCCCAGACUCCUACGGGAGGCAGCAGUGGGGAAUUUUGGACAAUGGCGC
rnacentral:rRNA from 1 species